UACGAAGGGGGCUAGCGUUGCUCGGAAUCACUGGGCGUAAAGGGUGCGUAGGCGGGUCUUUAAGUCAGGGGUGAAAUCCUGGAGCUCAACUCCAGAACUGCCUUUGAUACUGAGGAUCUUGAGUCCGGGAGAGGUGAGUGGAACUGCGAGUGUAGAGGUGAAAUUCGUAGAUAUUAGGAAGAACACCGGUGGCGAAGGCGGCCCACUGGUCCGGUACUGACGCUGAGGUGCGAAAGCGUGGGGAGCAAACAGG
rnacentral:rRNA from 1 species